UACGUAGGGCGCAAGCGUUGUCCGGAAUUAUUGGGCGUAAAGAGCUCGUAGGUGGCGUGUCGCGUCUGCCGUGAAAGCCCAUGGCUUAACUGUGGGUCUGCGGUGGAUACGGGGCAGGCUGGAGGCUGGUAGGGGCAAGCGGAAUUCCUGGUGUAGCGGUGAAAUGCGCAGAUAUCAGGAGGAACACCGGUGGCGAAGGCGGCAUCCUGGACCGACACUGACGCUGAGGAGCGAAAGCCAGGGGAGCAAACGGG
rnacentral:rRNA from 1 species